rnacentral:rRNA from 1 species
CGGUGAAAUGCGUAGAGAUCGGGAGGAAUACCAGUGGCGAAGGCGGCCUUCUGGACUGACACUGACGCUGAGGUGCGAAAGCGUGGGUAGCAAACAGGAUUAGAUACCCUGGUAGUCCACGCCGUAAACGAUGUCGACUAGCCGUUGGGCUCCUUGAGAGCUUUGUGGCGCAGUUAACGCGAUAAGUCGACCGCCUGGGGAGUACGGCCGCAAGGUUAAAACUCAAAUGAAUUGACGGGGGCCCGCACAAGCGGUGGAGCAUGUGGUUUAAUUCGAUGCAACGCGAAGAACCUUACCUACCCUUGACAUCGAGAGAACUUUCCAGAGAUGGAUUGGUGCCUUCGGGAACUCUCAGACAGGUGCUGCAUGGCUGUCGUCAGCUCGUGUUGUGAAAUGUUGGGUUAAGUCCCGUAACGAGCGCAACCCUUGUCCCUAUUUGCCAGCGAUUCGGUCGGGAACUCUAGGGAGACUGCCGGUGACAAACCGGAGGAAGGUGGGGACGACGUCAAGUCAUCAUGGCCCUUACGGGUAGGGCUACACACGUGCUACAAUGGCCGGUACAAUGGGUUGCGAAUCCGCGAGGUGGAGCUAAUCCCAUAAAGCCGGUCUCAGUCCGGAUCGGAGUCUGCAACUCGACUCCGUGAAGUCGGAAUCGCUAGUAAUCGUGAAUCAGAAUGUCACGGUGAAUACGUUCCCGGGCCUUGUACACACCGCCCGUCACACCAUGGGAGUGGACUGCACCAGAAGUGGUUAGCCUAAC